GGGGAAUAUUGCACAAUGGGGGAAACCCUGAUGCAGCAACGCCGCGUGAAGGAUGAAGGUUUUCGGAUUGUAAACUUCUUUAGUCAGGGACGAAUAAAUGACGGUACCUGAAGAAUAAGCCACGGCUAACUACGUGCCAGCAGCCGCGGUAAUACGUAGGUGGCGAGCGUUGUCCGGAAUCACUGGGCGUAAAGAGCACGUAGGCGGCCUUGCAAGUCAGAUGUGAAAUCCAACGGCUUAACCGUUGAACUGCAUUUGAAACUGCAAGGCUAGAGUAUGGGAGAGGUAGGUGGAAUUCUCGGUGUAGGGGUAAAAUCCGUAGAGAUCGAGAGGAAUACUCAUUGCGAAGGCGACCUGCUGGAACAUUACUGACGCUGAGGUGCGAAAGCGUGGGGAGCAAACA
rnacentral:rRNA from 1 species